rnacentral:rRNA from 1 species
CCUACGGGAUGCAGCAGUGAGGAAUAUUGGUCAAUGGGCGGAAGCCUGAACCAGCCAAGUCGCGUGAGGGAUUAAGGCCCUAUGGGUCGUAAACCUCUUUUGUCAGGGAGCAAUGGCGUCCACGUGUGGGCGUAUGGAGAGUACCUGAAGAAAAAGCAUCGGCUAACUCCGUGCCAGCAGCCGCGGUAAUACGGAGGAUGCGAGCGUUAUCCGGAUUUAUUGGGUUUAAAGGGUGCGUAGGCGGGACCUUAAGUCAGCGGUAAAAUGUCCGGGCUCAACCCGGGCCGGCCGUUGAAACUGGGGAUCUUGAGUGGGCGAGAAGUAUGCGGAAUGCGUGGUGUAGCGGUGAAAUGCAUAGAUAUCACGCAGAACUCCGAUUGCGAAGGCAGCAUACCGGCGCCCGACUGACGCUGAGGCACGAAAGCGUGGGGAUCGAACAGGAUUAGAUACCCGAGUAGUC